rnacentral:lncRNA from 1 species
GGAACACUCAGAGAGAGAGGAGGACCAGAAGAAGGCAGGACAAGGCAACACAGGAGGAGCAAGUGGUGUUCCAGAGAGCAACCUCCAUGGAGAGGUGGAGUUCCAGAAGUGGAGAGUAAAAGAGCACACUGCCCAAAAGCUUUGAGUACCUUGUUAAGAAGAAGGUGACCUUCCUUUGCUUUGAUUUUCUUUACUGAAGAGCACAAUGCAGAAAAAGGAUAAGACUUGUGGCUGGACACAGUGGAUUCCAAAAGAGACCCUAGAAGCCCAGUCUCCUUAGAAUGUUUC